rnacentral:lncRNA from 1 species
GCCGCUCAUGACUCUGCUCAACUAAGGAAGAACUGGCAUUUAUAAAAGCAAUCAAGCCACUACUCUCCUCAUAAAUCUGCAAUCGGACAAGACUGUUGGCUAACCUCUAAACAUUUCUAGCCAAUGGUCUCUUCUCAACAUUGAUAGCGGUAAGACUCCCCAUACUAGAAGUCUUCCUACUCAAAGCAUCGAUCACCUCAUCGGCCACC